rnacentral:pre_miRNA from 1 species
AAAAAGUUCAGUUUUUAGUUUUUAUAUAACGUUUGGCUCUUCGUUUUAUUUAAAAAAAUUUAUGAUUAAUAUUUUUAUUAUUAUUAGAUGAUAAAAUAUGAAUAGUAAUUUAUGUGUGACUAUUUUUUUAACUUUUAUAUUUUUUAAAUAAGACAGAUGGUCAAACGCUGGACACAUAAAUCUAAAAAUGAAUUUAUU